rnacentral:rRNA from 1 species
CCCUACGGGGCGCAGCAGUAGGGAAUCUUCCACAAUGGACGAAAGUCUGAUGGAGCAACGCCGCGUGAGUGAAGAAGGGUUUCGGCUCGUAAAGCUCUGUUGGUAGGGAAGAAAGAUAGAGGUAGUAACUGGCCUUUAUUUGACGGUAAUUACUUAGAAAGUCACGGCUAACUACGUGCCAGCAGCCGCGGUAAUACGUAGGUGGCAAGCGUUGUCCGGAUUUAUUGGGCGUAAAGCGAGUGCAGGCGGUUCAAUAAGGCUGAUGUGAAAAGCUUCGGCCCAACCGGGGGAGUGGAUCAGAAACU